rnacentral:tRNA from 1 species
GCUGAUAUAGCUCAGUUGGUAGAGCGCACCCCUGAUAAGGGUGAGGUCGGUGGUUCGAAUCUGCCACUCAGCACCA